CCUACGGGGGGCAGCAGUGGGGAAUAUUGCACAAUGGGGGAAACCCUGAUGCAGCGACGCCGCGUGAGUGAAGAAGUAUUUCGUUAUGUAAAGCUCUAUCAGCAGGGAAGAACAUGACGGUACCUGACUAAGAAGCCCCGGCUAACUCCGUGCCAGCAGCCGCGGUAAUACGUAGGGGGCAAGCGUUAUCCGGAUGUACUGGGUGUAAAGGGAGCGUAGACGGCAAUGCAAGUCUGGAGUGAAAGGUGGGGGCUCAACCCCCGGACUGCACUGGAAACUGUACGGCUGGAGUGCAGGAGAGGUAAGUGGAAUUCCUAGUGUAGCGGUGAAAUGCGUAGAUAUUAGGAGGAACACCAGUGGCGAAGGCGGCUUACUGGACUGUAACUGACGUUGAGGCUCGAAAGCGUGGGGAGCAAACAGGAUUAGAUACCCCAGUAGUC
rnacentral:rRNA from 1 species